CAAGUAGGACAAAUGAUCGCGGCUGUCUAUGACAGGUGAGGAAAGUCCGGGCUUCAUAGGGCAGGAUGCCGGAUAACGUCCGGUGGAGGUGACUCCAAGGCCAGUGCAACAGAAAUAAACCGCCANAAAUANCNUGUGUUAUNNAAGGAAGUUUGCGCNNGCGCAAACUUCNCNAGANUNGGCGAAGCCNAUUCUNGUGGUAAGGGUGGAAAGGCAGUGUAAGAGACUACCGCCUGCACGGUAACGGGCAGGGCACAUGUAAACCCCAUCCGAAGCAAGACCAAAUGGAAAGCGUUUGAACCGGCCCGGCGAGCUUUCAGGUGGGUCGCUGGAUGCUGCUGGUAACAGCAGUACUAGAUAGAUGAUCAUUCACGACAUAACCCGGCUUAUCGUCCUGCUUGAUGU
rnacentral:RNase_P_RNA from 1 species